rnacentral:rRNA from 1 species
GACGGAGGAUGCAAGCGUUAUCCGGAAUGAUUGGGCGUAAAGCGUCCGCAGGUGGCAGUUCAAGUCUGCUGUCAAAGACCGGGGCUUAACUUCGGAAAGGCAGUGGAAACUGAACAGCUAGAGUAUGGUAGGGGCAGAGGGAAUUCCUGGUGUAGCGGUGAAAUGCGUAGAGAUCAGGAGGAACACCCGUGGCGAAGGCGGCUCCCUGGUCCGUCCCUGACGCUGAGACGCGAAAGCGCGGGGAGCGAACGGG